GGCGCAGUGACGGAACGGUAACGUGCGGGAUUGCAAAUCCCAGGCCCCGAAAGGGAGGCGGUUCAACUCCGCCCUGCGCCUCCA
rnacentral:tRNA from 1 species